rnacentral:rRNA from 1 species
CCUACGGGAGGCAGCAGUGGGGAAUAUUGCACAAUGGGGGAAACCCUGAUGCAGCGACGCCGCGUGAGUGAAGAAGUAUUUCGGUAUGUAAAGCUCUAUCAGCAGGGAAGAAAAUGACGGUACCUGAGUAAGAAGCCCCGGCUAACUACGUGCCAGCAGCCGCGGUAAUACGUAGGGGGCAAGCGUUAUCCGGAUUUACUGGGUGUAAAGGGAGCGUAGACGGCAGCACAAGUCUGGAGUGAAAGGCCGGGGCUUAACCCCGGAACUGCUUUGGAAACUGUGCGGCUAGAGUGCAGGAGAGGUAAGUGGAAUUCCUAGUGUAGCGGUGAAAUGCAUAGAUAUCACGAGGAACCCCGAUUGCGAAGGCAGCCUACCGGAGUGCGACUGACGCUGAGGCUCGAAGGUGCGGGUAUCAAACAGGAUUAGAUACCCUUGUAGUC